UCUGCCUCGCGACGCUCCGCCCCACCCCACCCACCUCCUGCCACGCCCUGCGCGCCGCCGGCCGCCUCCUGCCCGGCCCCGCGCAGCAUCACCGCGCGCCGUCGGCCGCCUUCUUCCUCCAAUCCCAUCUCCUCCUCACCCGCGGAUUUCUUCGCUGUUCACGGCUCCCCUCCACCAAUUGGUCGUGACCUCGCGGGAGGCAGAAGAUGGGGUGCGCCGCUGGCGUCCGGCUCCGGAGCUCGAGCGGGCCGAUCUGCGCAGAGGCAGAGGAUGGGAUGGUGUGCUGCGCUCGAGACGAGGGGGCUCGAGUAAGGGGAUUGGAGGGUGGCGCCGGCGGGCUAGCGGACGGGGUUGGAGAGGGCGGGUGCCAGCAAGAUUGAGGCCGGGGAUGGAGAGGGCGGGGGUCGGCGAGCUGGAGGUUGAGGAUGGGAAGAGGCGGCGCUGCCGGCGGCCACGAGUGGAGGAGGGCACGCAGCUCCUCUCGCCAUGUGUAGAUACAGUACUAUUUUACAGGCGCAGACAGGAAGGCAGUACAUUGUUCUUGCGGUAGGCUGACGCAUUUGAUUUGCCGAUUGCCAUCUAGGAAGGGCUGGUUCUACUGCUAGAUGUCGGCCCGUCGAUGCACUGGGAGCUGCAGGAAGUCGAGAAUGUCUGCACCACCCUUGUGCGCAAGAAGGCAAGCAACACAAGGAGCGGCGAUGGCCGCUGCCUGAGCCUGGUGUUCUUUUUGUUGAGAAUCCCUGAGCCCGGUGGUGAUUAUCGCGAGAACCAGGACAACGGAAGCCGGGUGGCAUCGCUGGUCAGUGUAAAACGGGUUUAAACUUGGCGAAGCCAUUGAACAACACUCUUGCUUUUUUUCUGUUAGGACCUUUUAUCAAUCAUUGAGCCACGCCAAGUUUUUGAGAUGGUAAUGAAGCCUGCCACAUUAAAUUUGUCCCUCCCCUUGGUUCUUUGUUAUUUAUUCUUUUGAAUUCCUGAAAUUUCUCUGCAAAAUAAGUCUUGCUUUUCCAGAAGAUUGAACUGUUUCUUUUCAGCUACGAUCAUCUAAUCUCAUAUAUGUGUUCGUUUGAACUUAUUUACUCUUUUGACUGUUGAUUUGGUUUGCUUUGCCUGAAGAUUGAACUGUUUCUUUUUACUGUUGAUUUAUGAACUCCAAGUACUGAUGUGCAUAAUUAAGCAUCUGUUCAUCAGGUGUCUUUGUAUAUGGACAAGUCUGCAGGGGUUUGCCAGUCGGACUUCCAUGAUUGCAAAUUGUCGUUCCUGCAAAUUAUAUGUGAUCACGAUCUUUUUGUCGAGAUGACUGGUAUGUAUCCCGCUGUAAAUUCAUGGACUACCAACCUAGGGAACUAUAAAUAUUCCAGUUUGCCAAACUAUUUUAAUAGACCAGCAAUAUUGUUCGGAGACUUUGGUCCUCCUCCACAGCGGGAUGCGACCUCCCUGGAGCAGCGGGUCAGGCGCAUCGUCGGAGGGGGAGAAGAUCUUGUUAUCUACAGCAACGUUGAGUGAACCGCCGUCAAACUGAAGCGCGCCUCCUGUAGCUGCGACCCUGUGUUGGCCCUGCCCGCGUACGUCCGCUAAGACCGGAAACAGAGCAGAAAAGGAGUUCAAAUGACCUCUCUCUGUUUUUCCUCCCUCUGGGAGGGCGUUGCAGGAGCAGUUAAGGCAUGCGGAGGUUUGAAAAUUGCGCAGGUGUUUCAGGCAGAAACAGUAAUAGCAUCGACUAGGAGGAACAAGACAAGAACCAGCGACUGCUACCAUUGCUGGCUAAGCUAGCUGCUACGAUGCCCGCUUCUCUUUGCAACGGCCAAAGCACACAACAAUCCAUAGUUUGGUGAAUUUUUUCUCCCCACUUUGGUCACUUGGGACGGGUUGUGGGCAACAGCAGUUUAGAAGAAUCGGUAGUAGAGACGUGAAUGUUAAAGCCAAUGGGCUAGAAAACUAUAAGGAUACUUGAUUUGUUUCCAUGUCUACCUUUCAGUAUUCAGCCUUGCGAGAAAAGGUGCCUCAGGAUAGAAGCUUGACAUAGGUGUGGCCUUGAAUGCCAGGAUUUUAUGAGUAGCCUGACUCUUCUGUUCUCAUUACAGAAUCAGAAUUCAAAAGAUCAAUGGAAGUUUGCUUAUGAAAGUAAAACAUCAAUGUACUAAUGCA